UACGUAGGGGGCAAGCGUUGUCCGGAUUUAUUGGGCGUAAAGCGCACGCAGGCGGUCUUUUACGUUUCGAGUGACAGGUGGUGGCUUAACCACCACAGGCCUUGGAAAACGGGAAGACUUGAGGGCUUCAGAGGGACGCGGAAUUACAGGUGUAGCGGUAAAAUGCGUUUAUAUCUGUAAGAACACCAAAGGCGAAAGCAGCUUGCUGGAACGGUUCUGACACUCAUGGACGAAAGCGUGGGGAGCGAAAAGG
rnacentral:rRNA from 1 species